UGGUCAAGCAUUUCCCCGCUUCGCCACUUAGUAUUAGCCACCUCAAAUGUCUGUUGAAGCAUCACCCUGCAACACACACCACCCUUUUCAGCCUUUAAAGUUGCUGAUGCCCCCAUGCAGUGGUUCCCAACCUGGGGGCCUCCAGAUAUUACUCCCAUCAGCCUCAUCAGUCCCAGCCACAAUGAAUUGGGAAUCAGGUUGGGAACCACUUACCCCAUGCCAGAGAGAAGUCCCAUUCAAGGUUCCUCAAGCCACAAAGCCUUUAAGGAAUGAGGCUCAUUCUCAUGCCAAAUACUUGCUACUACGAUGGCGGUGGCGAUGAAUAUUUAUAUACCUCUCUUCAACAAAAGUUCUCAAAGCGUUUUACAUAGGAAAAUAAAUAAUACAUAAAUAAGAUGGCCCCCUGUCCCCAAAGGGCUCACAAUCUAAAAAGAAACAUAAGGUAGACACCAGCAACAGCCACUGGAGGGAUGCUGUGCUGGGGUUGGAUAGGGCCAGUUGCUCUUCCCCUGCUAAAUAUAAGAGAACCACCACUUUAAAAGGUGUCUGUUUGCUCAAUUAGCAUGGGGCUCACUUUUUGUGCUCACCUUUCGCUUUCCUAUGAUUUCCCCAGUCCUGUGCUCUACCUGCUGGUUGUAACAAAUGGAACUGUAACUGACUGCGGAGAACAGUGCAAGCACUCGAAGUGGCCGGGCCACCUACACCUGGCCCAGGAGGAAGCGGGACACCCCAACCUGAGCCCGCGCCGGGCGGCAGUGGUGAGGACCCCAGUGGUGACGGAUCUGGCGGAGCACCUCUGCUGACUGGAAGAAUUGCAGCUACACGUCACCGUUUAGCAUUAGCAACAAGCCUUCCAGGGGAAGACUUCUAAUAUUAGAACAUCAUGAUGCCACAAAAGAAGGAGAGUGGAGCUGAAGGACGGAAGAGGCGGAGGUUCAAGGCAGAGGAAGCCAAGAGGUUGAGAAGGUUCUUCAUGCCCUUCUUUACAAGGCCCAGAACAAGCAGCUCAACACCACCUUCCAUAGAGUCGCCAGCACCUGCUCCAAUGUUGUUGGAAUCCGAAGGUGGAUCAAGUGCGCAUCCGCCACAAGCGGAGGAGGCAGUCCAGUCAGAUGAAUUCCAGUAUGAAGAGGCUGCCACAGAGAGUGUGGACAUGACAGGUGGUGAUGUUGAGUCUACUGAAGAGAUAGAACCCAACGACAUUACACCCAGUGAUUUGGAUGCUGCCCAAGAGCCUCCAACUGUUAGGCCAGAAGUGAUCAACCAGCAUGACAUUGGACUUCUGAAGUUUGACAAGGAUACUGGAAGACCAAUUCUGCCUGACACGCUGAGAACAGAAAUAAUAAAGCUGGGUUCAAAGUAUUUCCAGAACACUGAGGGGCCUUUCCUACCGACAAAUAACCAUGCAAUGAACAAGACUUGGUUCAGGAAGAGAUUGGGAAGUGGUCGUGGUGAGGAGGUGGCUCGCACAUGGCUAGUCUAUUCUCUUCUAAGAAGUCUGCAUUUUGCUUCUGCUGUCUUCUCUAUUCCCGGUCAGACCAUCAAUCCUCAUUGGAGCAGGAAAGUGGAUUCAACCACUGGAAAGCACCUGAAAGGAUUUGUGUUCAUGAGAAUACCAAGAAUAACCAAGAGUACUUCACACAGUGGAAAGAAAUGUAGCUGAGAACAGAGGACUCACUGACAUGGAACUUCGGUCACAGAUUGAGAAGGAGAAGCAGAGGUGUCAGGAUAUCUUGAUGAGAAUCAUUCACUGCAUCUAAUACUUUGUGACUCAGAACCUGGCUUUGUUCUGAGGGAGUCACUUCAGCUAGACAAGGAUGACUCCAAUGUAGGAAAUUUCCUUGGCUCAGUGAUCUUUGACCAGGUUACGAAAGAACACCUGAUCCAUGUUGAAAGUCAUCCUGGAUCCACCUCUUAUCUUUUGCCGGCAGUCCAGAAUGAAUUCAUCCAGAUGAUGGCAUCCACUGUUCGCCAGAGUCUACUGAGAAGCAUUCGUAAAGCCAAAUACUAUGGCCUCAUGCUCGACUCGACUCCUGACCUGGCACACCAUGAACAGAUGUCAGAAGUAGUUAGGUACGUGGAACUUGAUUUUGAGAGGAAAACAGUCCGUAUUAGAGAGUCCUUCCUUGGUUUUAUCCAGUUAAGCCGAAAGGAUGCUGAGAGCUUGACUGAAGACAUCUUGAAACAGUUAGAGAAGGAUGGAAUGGAGCUACAAGAUUGUCGGUCACAGUGCUAUGACAACGCUGCUGUGAUGGCAGGUCACAGAAGUGGUGUUUCCCAAAGGAAAAGUGAGAAAAACAACCUGGCAGUGUUUGUGAAUUGCAACAAUCACUCACUCAACUUGGUGGGUAUACAUGCAGCCAAACAGGAUGUAAUGAUGGUGACAUUUUUUGGAACCAUUGAUGCCAUCUACGUGUUUUUCUCUCACUCAGCACAGCGCUGGGAAAAACUCAGAAAUGCCGUGCCUGUGUCUGUUAAGUUGGAGUCCGAAACCAGGUGGAGUUCAAGGACAGAAGCAGUGAAGCCAGUCAACAAUCACCUUGAGGAGAUACUUCAAGUUCUUCAUGACAGAUGAAGAAGACGAGAACCUUGAAAGGAUGAAGAAGUGACGCAGGGCAGCUGUGCAACUGCUUGUUGAGUUAUGAUGUUCUGACUCUACUAGGAUUUUGGAACAAAAUCCUCAUUCGAAUUGACCGUGUUCAAAAGAGGCUGCAGGAUCCUAGAAUGAACUUCCACGAUGCUGCCCUAGAUUUGAAAGCUCUCCAAGAACAUUUUGAUGAUUAGAGAGAAGUGCUGGUCAGUGAGGCACUCAACGUAGGGCUUGGUCUCUGUCAAGAAUGGGAUGUCAAAUUUGAAAGAUGUCAGAGAUGGAAGAAACAAAUGGCUAGUGAGAAAUCAAGAGAUGCUGGAUUAACAGCUAGGGAGGAGAUGGAAAGAGUCAUGAAGGGAACACUCAUCAACUUAACAGAGAACUGGACAAAAGGUUCACUCGUCUACAUGACACUGAUGCCAAGUUUGGGUUCCUUCUUGAUAUCAAGGGACUGGGUUACGGUGCCGACAGAGAGAACCUAAAGAACUGUGGAAAUUUUUGUACAGCUGUACAAAAACUGUACAGCUCUGGUGUUGAUGUGAAGAAAUUUUGGACUGCAGAAUGUUGCUAUCAAUGUGGACUAACAUGAGAGUAUAAAGACCAGAAGAGCUUCUCGAAUUUAUAGUUCAAUAUGGAGAUGAGAGUGUCUUCCCCAACCUCUGCAUUGCUAUUCAGAUCAUGCUGACCAUUGCAGUUUCCAUUGCCAGCUGUGAGAGAUCAUUCAGCAAGUUAAAACUGAUACUUUCGUAUCUGAGAGCCUCCAUGGGUCAAGGCAGACUCUGUGAUCUUGCUCUGCUGAGUGGAGAGGAAACUGACAAAACUGACUUUGAUAACAUCAUAGACCAAUUUGUGUCAGUGAAAGCAAGGAAGGUCCAGUUAUACUUUUCAGGCAGAAGAUUCUUUUACUUGUCUCUCAGUCCCUCUCAUGUGACAUGUACACACAUGAAGUCCUGGAACAUGUGAAACAUAAUAAAGGAGAUAUAUACUUUUGAGAAUAUACAAAGAGCCUUUCAUCUAAGAAACAAGAGGACCACCUGCAUCAAAGAUAAGAUAUGAUGUCUUCUUUUGCAAAGGGUUGUGGUUUCCAAGUGGCCUUGAGACCCAGUACUGUAUCUCUUACUUAGAAAAUAAGAGAUACUUUCCAUCUCUUCAAUUUGCCCAGUUCCCCCUGACCGUUUAGGAAAGGUGGAAAAUAUCCAUUUUUUUGGUCCACUGUUUGCUGUGGUUGGGCAUUAUAUUUGCUCUUUUCUCUUUAAGAGUUUGGCAGGUUGUUGUGAAGGUGAAUGAGAAGAUCCCUUGAAUAUGAAAAUAAAACAUUGAAUCCUGCUCAAUAGUAUCACAAGGGGAUACAUCCAUAUUUAAACAUCGACCUUGUGGUCAAUGUGUUCUGGCAUUGGCAUCCAGUUAUUGCCCCAAUCUUAAUUUAAAUAGGAAAAAAUCUAUGUAUGCCUAACAUACAAGUACUUGUCCAAUGGUGACAUUAUCUUCCUUAAUAGUUCAGCAUUUUUCUUACAUUCAGUUGCAGAAAUAGAUGUUCUGAACUCAAUCCCAUCAACAUUAGAAGUGGUGUAGUUUACGUUUCUUGGUCAUUUUUAAUCUGCCUGAUUCUGGCAUUUGCUCCUUAGCCUCCUUUUCAUUGUAAGAGUCUAUUCUUUCACAUUUCCCCAGCUCCAUAUUGUAGAAAAUGUGAAACAUGAAGCUAUGAUAAACCACAGAUGCACUGGGAAUCUUUCCUAUAUUAAAUUGCUUAAAUAUAUCUAUCAAAGGUCAAAGAUGGUGAAGAUAUGGGGAAUUGGAGGAGCAGAAUUUUGGACAUUAUCUGCCCAGUUAGAACUGCCAAAACCCUUGGCUUCCAUUAAAACUGUGCAUUAAAAAUCUAUUCUUACAUUUGAAGCCUGGAUACAGCUUUUUCAAGUAUUGAACCUAAACAAUUUGGCAGGCAAACCACAAUGCAGUUAUCAACAACUUACUAUUAGUGAACCUCUCUUAUUUAACUUUUUCAGUUUUUACUUAUUCAUUAUGCUGAUAUGACCUUGUAUUUUAGGCAGCGUGCUGAUAUUUCUUAGCAUGUAGAUUGGUUUUGAAAGAUGUACAACUUUCCUUGCAAAUAACUAUUUAUAACAAUAACAAUAACUAUUCCAGUUAUUUUUCAAUGUAUAUAUUUAUAUAGGUUGCAAGUUAUUCAAGAACUAUAUUUUUCUCAAGAAGCAGCAGUGGCAAGUUGAUCAGAGAAUCAGGCAGUUUCAUGUAGAUGUUAAACAACGUCGGAGACAAUAUGGAGCCCUGAGGGUCACCAUAGGAAACCUCAGAUUUGGAAGAACAGUCUCCAGUCAACACCAUCUGGAACCUGCCCGAGAGGUAGGAGUGGAACCACUGCAAAACAGUGCCUCCCACUCCCAAUCUCCUCAGACAUUACAGAGGGAUACUAUGGUCAAUAGCAUAAAAAGCCGCCGAGAGAAAAGGACCAACAGAGUCACACUCCCUCUGUCAAUUCCUAAUUGGAGAUCAUCCAUCAGGUUGACCAAGGUAGUCUCCACCCCAUAGCCCACCUGAAAGCCAGUUUGAAAUGGGUCUAGAUAAUCAGUUUCCUCCAAGACCACCUGGAGCUGGGAAGCCGCCACCUUCUCAGUCACCUUGCCCAGCCAUGCAAGGUUGGAGGCAUGCCUGUAGUUGCUUAACUCUGAGGGAUCCAAGGCAGGCUUCUUCAGAAGUGGUCUAAUAAUUGCCUCCUUAAGGAGGCAUCCUGCCCUCCCUCAGAGAAGCAUUUAUAAUCUCUGCCAGGCCCUCUACAACAGCCUCCCUGCCAGAUAGUAUAAGCCAUGUUGGGUAAGGAUCAAGAGGGCAGGUUGUAGGCCGCACCAUUCCAAGCAAUUUGUCCACAUCAUCAGGAGUCAGAAACUGAAAUUGAUCCAGGGCUGUCACAUAAGAAGAGCUGCUGGACACCUCGGCAUCAGACUCUGUAACAACUGUGGAGUUGGAACCAAGUCGGCCCGAAUACAAGAGAUUUUGUCCACAAAAAACUCAUUAAGAACGUCAUAGUGGGUAAUUGUGGGUUCCACGCACUGAUUCAAGGGGGGAAGGGCUGCACAUUAGCCCCUUCACAACCCUGAACAACUCCACCGGACAUGAACUUAUGGACGUAAUAUGGGAGGAAAGGAAUUGCUUCUUUGCAGCAUGUAUUGCCUAAACAUAGAUCUUCAAAUGCACUCUAUGAAGUAAUUUGUCAGAUUUGGGUCGAGUCUUUCUCUACUUGUGGUCUUGUUGUCUACCUCACCGCUUCAGCCUCUAUAGUUCUUCCAUAUACCAAGGGGACAGUUCUGAAUCAGGUUGGAGAGGAUGCCUAGAAUCAAUCAUGUCCACUGCCCUGGUGAGUUGAUUGUUCCAGUUCUCAACCAGAGUGUUGACAGGGUCACCAGGAGAGCCAACACUAAAUCCUUCCAAGGCUUCUCAGAAUCCUAUUGGAUCAUCCUAAUGCCCCCCCCCCCCCCACACACACACAAACAUCUGCGGAGGUGGGAUGUGGUUGAGAGUUAAUCAGAUGGUGGUCCGACCAUGACAAUGGGGAAAUCACAGGAGUCACCACCCACGGAACACCACCCUGUUCAGAGUGAAAGACCAGAUCAAGCGUGUGACCAGCAAUAUGCAGUGGUCCUGAGACCACUUGGGAUAGGCCCAUAGUCAUCAUGGUUGCUAUGAAUUCCAGAGCCUCCCUGGACAAAUUGGUCCCAACGUGAACAUUGAAGUCCCCAAGCACCACAAGGCUGGAAGACUCUACUGUCACUCCCGAAACCAAGUCUGUCAGCUCAGUUCGGGACUCCCUUGGGUAGUGGGAUGAUCAGCACACCAACAGAAGUCCCAGUUUAUCCCUGGUCCCCAAACUUAGGUACACACAUUCAAUAUGGUCAGACAUUUCGACAGGGAUCCUGGCAAGGAAGAUAUUGUUCUUAUAGACCUUAUAAUCUGUAUAUAUACAUUCUUAUAAUCUGUGUCAUCCAAAACUGCCUGGAGAUGAGAGGCCAUCACCCGCUCAAUUGCCUUGCCUAUGGAAGUUUAGAAAAGGGUCUGUAAUUAGGCAACUCCAAGGGGUCCAAUGCAUGUUUCUUCAGAUAAGGUCUAAUAAUAUCCUCCUUAAAACAAGGAGGCAUCCUGCCCUCCCUCAGAGAAGCAUUUAUAAUAUUUACCAGACAGUCUCCAAUAAUGUGACUGAAAUAAGCCAAGUUUGGCAAGGGUUGAGAGGAUAGGACAUGGGACGCACAGUCUGAAGCAGUUUGUCCACAUCCUCAGGAGUCACAAACUGAAAGUGAUCCAAUCAAAACCUACAAGAGGAGUUGAUGGACACCUCUACAGUAGACUCUGCAAUUACUGUAGAGUCUAGUUCGGCAUGAAUAUGUGAGAGUUUAUAAGCAAAAAGGUCUUUAAAGACAUCACAGCAAGUGACAGAUGGUUCCAAGUUCAAAUUCAAGGCAGAAGGUGAAUAAAUUAGCCCCCUCACAACCCAAGACAACCCAGUUGGAUGUGAAUUUGCAGAAUCAAUGAGGACAGACAAAACUGCUUUUUUGCCUCCUGUACUACCAGAGCAUAGAUCUUCAAAUGUAUCUAUCGGAUUUGUGCCGUCUUCCUCCACGUGCACUCCUGUUGUCUCCAUCACCACCUCAGCUCCUGUAGUUUUUCUGAGUAAUAUGGGACUGACUUCGAAGAAGGUCAGCGAGGACGCUUAGGAGCAAUUGUGUCUACCACUCUAGUGAGUUCAUUAUUCCAUAUUUGCACCAGAGUAUUGACAGAAUCACUAGAAGAGCCAACUUGAAACACUUCUGCGGCUUCUUGGAAUCCUGUUGGAUCCAAUAACAUUUUAGGAUGGGACAAUCUAAUAGGUCUUUCACCUUUGCAGAGGGGGGUUGUGCACCUGUAAGCAUAUACCUGUAAAUACAUCCUGUAAACCAGGGGUUCUCAAACUUGAGUCCCCAGAUGUUUGACUACAACUGCCAUCAUCUUCAGCUACAAAGACUUCAGCCUUCGUAGCUGGAAAUGAUGAGAGUCAUAGUCCAACAACAUCAGCGGACCCAAGUUUGAGAACCCCUGCAGUAAGCUCAUUGUGGUGUAGGAUAUGUGAAUCCAGACCUAAAAGCUUGCACAGAAAUGCAUUGGUGGAUGAUUAGUGCUCUGGUCUGAAUCAAAAGUCAGUUAUGCACAAACCACCCUUUUGCUAAGGUACUAAUAGGAGUAGUAUGGGAGAAAGAGUUAUUGUUGCAAUGAACAGUGACAGUAGCUCCAAACCUCCACUUUACAAUGUGCUUCUAACGAGUUACUUGCUAUUGCACUUCCUCUUUCCACACUACUAUUGCUCCUCAGGGAAACAAAUACUCAAAUAUUCCUCCUUAAAUCAUGUAUGGAUCUCAUGCUUCCGCUUCAUAUUUUAUUGCACCAGAUAAAUCAGGUCUAUGCACCUGGUGACCCACCAAGCAUAGCCUGACUGGCAGCCUUUAAUAUAUGUGCUGAUUUUAGAGAUGGAGCAAACAAAAAUGAUUGGGGGAAUUGUGAGCAAUCCCUUCAAAUAAUCACAAGAGCAAGGGCUUUAGUUACCAGGGGGAAAAUAUGCUCUCCUGCUACUGCAUCCCCCAACGCAUCUGCCUCAGUAAGCUAUGCAUUAACUAACCAUAAAGCUCUUAUCUUUGCCUGUGAGAGGAGGAACAGAAGUGGAAAGCAGUCCAUCUCACUAACUAGGCAGUCGUUUUGACUCCCUACCAAGUUGCUAUAGAAAUGACAUACUGAGUAUGCUAGCAGGAUGGGCUUCUUCCCACUCUCAUUUCCCCUCCAUGCAGGGGAAGAAUUUGUUUUGCUUUUGCGAAGGGAGGGAAUUUGAAAAGGGAGGGCAUGCAUGCCAUUGAGCUCCAUUUUGAGAACUGAUCUAAACAUGGUCUGGGUCAACUAAAAAUGGUUGUGAAGGGUUGCUCCCCCCCAAUUAAAAAAACCCCGCCCCAGAAGGAUUCUUUGCAUUUUCAGUCCCCUGUCCCUGUUUUUGACUAUCAAACCUGGGAGGAGGAAAAAUGUCAAACACUCAGCAAGCCACUAUAUGGAGAUGUAAAUAUCAGGUGGUAUAAAAUAUGAUUGAUUGAUUGAUAAAUAAAUAAAUAAAUAAAUAUGUGGCUUGAGGACUGCAUUAAGUAUGGUUGCAUUCUGUCUGAAAUGCACAUUGCAUUAUAUCUUUAAAUUUAAGGUUAUUUCCAUGCCUUUUCUGCAAUUAUUACCCAAAGGUAACAGAUUCAGUUUUUCUUCCAUAGCUAUGCAUAAGAAAUUUCAUAAUGCUGCAGACAGUGUUUUAAGUAAAGCCAAAAGGACAUUAUCUGGAAGAAACUAACUACAAAUGAGAAGAAAGUGAUCCAGGAGUGGUAAAGGUUAAGAGACAUGUAGCUAUCUUUAUACAGUGGUCCCUCUACUUACGAAAUUAAUCCGUUCCGAAUGCACAUUUGUAAGUCGAAAAAUUCGUAAGUCGAAAAGCGGUUUCCCAUAGGAAUGCAUUGGGAACGGAUUAAUGCGUUCCGGAGCCUAGAAAAAAGACCCAGACCCCCAGUAAGGCUUGCAAACUGCACAGGAACAUUUCUUUUCAAGAAUAAACAGGCAGUAAACAGGCAGGCAAGUCAAGGAAACCGCAUGUAAAAUUCGUAAGUCGAGGAAACCCCAUCUAAAAAUUUGUAAGUCGAGGAAACCCCAUCUAAAAAUUUGUAAGUCGAAAAAACCACAUCUAAAACCGGAUCUAAAACUGCCAUUUGUAACUCGAAAAAUACUUAUGUCGAGUAGUUUGUAAGUCGAGGGACCACUGUACUUAGUUGUGCUUGAAAACACUUGCACAGAAUAAUCUAGUUUGUUAAAGUGGAUAUUUUCUACAUUGAUUGUCCUUUAAGAUUUUUGUUUUACUUUUUUAUACCUGCUACAGCAACAGAAAAUGUUUCUGGAUGACUGGUUAGAAUAUAAAUAGUUUAUUACAAAUCAUAAACAUGCAACACAUAAUUCAAGUGAUUCAAGUAGGAGAAUCCAUAUAAUUUUAACCUAAUGUAUCUACCAGAAUGCAUAAUGGAUCAAACCAAGUUGUAACAAGAUGAGAUGCAAGGGGAAGAAAUGGGAACCAACUUUUUUUAAUGCCAUGAAUUAAUUGAAAUAGAGAGCAAAGUAUGGUUUGUACAAAGAUUUACAGAAUGUAGAGAUGAAAGCAUGGUAAUUAAAGUAUUUAGUUUAAGGAAGUAGAUGCCAUUUAAUUAGAAGCUGCAAUUUAUAAACAUCAAGAUUCUGAAAUGUCUCUUUUCAAGUACCUGCACAUGCUUUGUAUUUCAUUGAUGGAAUAUGGAUCUGAAGGUCCUCAAAAAUAGAGUAUUUUACUGUUGAAUUUCUCAACUUAACCCUUAUUCGCCUUUGUAGAUCUCCACCAUUCUCUGUGGAACAAUGAGGAAUACUGAAAAACCUACAGAAUUAUUAAGUUAUUAUAUUUGUUCCAUCAAGUAAAUAGAGGUUCUGCAUUGUGCAGGAAAAUGCUGUGAUUUUUGUAUUUAUAUAUAGUGAAAUGUGUGCCAGGGCUGUAGAAUCAAUUUUGUGUCCUCCUUUUGACACCCCCGCCCCCAAAUAAAAUGCCUAAACUAAAUUACUUCUUUUUUCAGUAUAUUUAGAUGAUCCCUUUGGGAUAGAAAUGAGAAACCCUGAGUCAAAUAAUAACUGUUGCCUACACUGUGAUUCCAUCCAGGACUAUACAAGGCCAUUGGCCCAGCCAGGAUUGAAUGGAAGUGCUAUUAAUAUGAACCUGUGCAUCCAUGUGGGAUAUGAUCACCAAAGUUUGUACAAUUGUGGUGGCAGCAGCACACACAGUUUUUGGCAGCAGCACACUGAGAAGAAUAUGUGACUCAGACAGUCUCAGUGACAGAGCCAUUAUGGCCAAGCACACUCCCUUCUCCAAAGGCUGCCUUCAUUCAAAAUAAUUCAGCAACAGCCUUUUCAUCUGCCAGUUUCCCUCCUACCAUUUCCCACAGUUUCAAACCUUACUAUGUUACAUGUAGGGAUGAUGAAAAAUGGCAGCCAAAGCUAAAGUCACGAUCUCGUCUACUAUUUCUGUGUCGCUGAUGUCAGUUCUGGGAAGACUCAUUUUUAUUCCUCCUGAUCCACUGACAAGGAAGAAUAAAAACUUCCUGUUGCUAGAGUUUCACUGAGGACUACUCUAAGCUGCUCCUUACUCAGCAAAGACACUUCUGAGCAUGCUAGGACCCUGCUUUGUGUUUUCUGUUUCUUUGUGUAUUGUAUUUCUGAGUCAUUG